CCUACGGGUGGCUGCAGUGGGGAAUAUUGCACAAUGGAGGAAACUCUGAUGCAGCCAUGCCGCGUGAGUGAUGAAGGCCUUCGGGUUGUAAAGCUCUUUUGGCGGGGACGAUAAUGACGGUACCCGCAGAAUAAGCCCCGGCUAACUUCGUGCCAGCAGCCGCGGUAAUACGAAGGGGGCGAGCAUUGUUCGGAAUUACUGGGCGUAAAGGGUGCGUAGGCGGAUUGGAUAGUCAGAUGUGAAAGCCCAGGGCUCAACCCUGGAAUUGCAUUUGA
rnacentral:rRNA from 1 species